rnacentral:rRNA from 1 species
GUUAGUGGCGAAAGGGUGCGGAAUAAAUAGGUAACGUACCCCGCGCUUCGGGAUAGCGCCGGGAGCUUCGGCUCCUUUCCGAAAGGGGCGGUAAUACCGGAUAAUAUCAUCUGUCGAUGGGCGGAUGAUCAAAGAUUUAUCGGCGUGGGAGCGGCCUAUUUCCUAUCAGCUUGUUGGUGAGGUAACGGCUCACCAAGGCAACGACGGGUAGCGGGGCUGAGAGGUUGACCCGCCUCAUCGGGACUGAGACACUGCCCGGACCUCCACGGAGGGCUGCAGUAACGAAUAUUGUGCAAUGGGCGAAAGCCUGACACAGCAACGCCGCGUGUAGGAUGAAGCCUUUCGGGGUGUAAACUACUGUCAGGGGGAAGAAAGUCCCGACUCGUCGGGAUUGAUCUACCCCAAAGGAAGUCACGGCUAACUUCGUGCCAGCAGCCGCGGUAAUACGAAGGUGGCGAGCGUUGUUCGGAAUCACUGGGCUUAAAGAGCACGUAGGCGGAGUGGAUAGUGUCCUGUGAAAGCCCCCGGCUCAACCGGGGAAUUGCGGGGCAUACUGCCACUCUUGAGGCAAGUAGGGGUGCAUGGAACUCUUGGUGGAGCGGUGGAAUGCGUAGAUAUCAAGAGGAACGCCGAAGGUGAAGACAGUGCACUGGGCUUGUCCUGACGCUGAGGUGCGAAAGCGUGGGGAGCGAACGGGAUUAGAUACCCCGG